rnacentral:rRNA from 1 species
UACGGAGGGGGCUAGCGUUGUUCGGAAUUACUGGGCGUAAAGCGCACGUAGGCGGCUUUGUAAGUUAGAGGUGAAAGCCCAGGGCUCAACCCUGGAAUUGCCUUUAAGACUGCAUCGCUUGAACAUCGGAGAGGUAAGUGGAAUUCCGAGUGUAGAGGUGAAAUUCGUAGAUAUUCGCAAGAACACCAGUGGCGAAGGCGGCUCACUGGCCCGGUACUGACGCUGAGGUGCGAAAGCGUGGGGAGCAAACAGG